UUGUGUACUUUUAAAGGCUACAGGUUGCAUUAAUUUUGAGAAGAAACCACCGCGGCUAAACAAAAAGGUAGUGACUUAGACACCUGCCCCUGGGGGGGAGGGGAGUCCUCCGCCCUCCCAGGAGGCGCAGUUGCCUAGCAACCGAAUGCUCUGCAGGCCCCGCAGGUCCAGAAAAGUCCCGAGUUGAUCUCUGUCCGGUGUCUGUCCUACUUCCAUUCGCUCGUUUCUGUCCCUCUCGCUUUACCUUCUGAUUCUAGAAACACAAACAAGUAAACAGCUUCCACCGUACCAUCCCACCUAUCAAGACCUAAAGCCCUAAAUCCUGAAAUUCUCCACUCUAUUUCUCGAGGUCCUUCCCACCGAAUCUCAACGUCUGAACUGCAAAGGGCUUGCUUUUACUCAUUUUACAGAUGAGAAACUGAGAUAGACUCAGAGAAGAGAAAUUAUUAAAAUUGCAUUGAGUUAGGGAGCUGGAACUACAAUCUGAUUGACUACAAGUUGCUAAUACAUUUGUUAAUUUGACUCACAUGGUGAUUCCGGAUUGUAAAUUGGUGACAGUUUUACCAAACUAGAUAAUGUGUGCAAAAAAUAAUAAUUUUUAAAAAGAAACACCGUCUCCUGGCACUUGCUGUUUGGCAAGUGUUUACUUGUGCAGAGUGAUUUCUUCAAAAACAAUUCUGACUUUUCUCUAGAAAUUUGCACAGAUGACAAAUAUGCUUAAUGGCAACGGUUUUGAAAAGAGAGAUGUGACCAGCUAAAUCCAGAUUGCAGGUGUAUUUGGUUUGGUAAAUGAAGACUGGGGAAUGCUAAAGCACCCAAGUCAGCCCUGUGCAGCCCUGCUGGCCCCCAUUCUUUCUUACUCCGGAUACAGAUGAUGGAAUAUCACCUAGCAAUAAGAGCUUCAUUAAGCUUUCUGAUGUGACACUGGUAAUACUGGAUUAUAUAAAGUUGUGAGGGGGGAUUUCAAGGAACUCACUAGUGAAUUAGAACAUAUUCUUACUAAAAAACAAAAAACGCUCUCCAGGUGACAAAGAGAAACGAUGUGUUUUUGCCCAGGGUACCCUACAUGGGCCUCAGAGCCACUUCUCAGGCCUGAUUUCUUUCUUUCCAGCAGCUGCCAGAAAGCUAUCCUGCAUUCCGCUUUUUCAAAUUCUGCCCAGAAUGGAAACUCUUUCAGUUUACUUUUCAUGACAUUUAUGUAAAUUCCUUUCAGAUGGCCUUUAUUUCUUGCAUGUAAACUGCGUGUAGAUUAGAAGUCAUAAUCAAAGCCAAAACGGUAAUCCUGUCUCAAGUUAGUAAUUGGCAUCUUUGAGGAAGUAGACAUGGGAUAACAUCUAUUCCAAUAUAUCUGUACCACACAGGAGUCCACCCCUUUUGGAGUCAUAUUUCUUGAAACGAUGGUAGUUUAUUUUAGCUUUUGUCAGAUAUCUGUCUUGGUAUUUCCUAUGGAAAUCAAACAGUAAUUUUUAGACAAUAAGGGUUCAUAUUGGUAUAUCGUGAAUUAGUAUUUUUUUGUCGUAAAUCUUGUGGCUAUCCUGAACUUAACACUUUUUAAAUUGUGGAUUUCAAAUUAUUUUUACAGGUAUUGAUAAAUCUUGUUCAUAUUCCUGUUAGAAGAGGACACUUGGGAAACUGAGUAGGAGGGGAAAUGACAUAGUCAGGAAUUGAUUGCUCCCAAUACUUUUGUUACAGGAGUUUUCUACAGGAUCACAAUUGAAGUUAUUUAAUUAAGAGUAACUGUUGGUGAUGUCCCAAACAGUAAUUUUUUUUAAAACUCCAAGUACAAUUUUUUUUUUUUUUUUUUUUUUGCAAUUCGGAAAUCAGAUCUCACGUGUCAAUUUACGAUCUAAAGUCUACUUUCAGCUUUGCGGUCACUUAAGGAGACAUACACUUAGAACCAGGCGCAGUGGCUCAGGCCUGUAA